AGCAUUAGCUAAUACUUCUGUCCUAUCACAUAGUUACCAUUCUUUUUUGAGACAAGAACAUUUAAGAUCUACUCUCAGUAAUUUUUUA